GACGAACGCUGGCGGCACGCUUAACACAUGCAAGUCGAACGAGAGAAGAGAAGCUUGCUUUUCUGAUCUAGUGGCGGACGGGUGAGUAACACGUGAGCAAUCUGCCUUUCAGAGGGGGAUACCGAUUGGAAACGAUCGUUAAUACCGCAUAAUAUAAUUGAACCGCAUGAUUUGAUUAUCAAAGAUUUAUCGCUGAAAGAUGAGCUCGCGUCUGAUUAGCUAGUUGGUAAGGUAACGGCUUACCAAGGCGACGAUCAGUAGCCGGACUGAGAGGUUGAUCGGCCACAUUGGGACUGAGACACGGCCCAGACUCCUACGGGAGGCAGCAGUGGGGAAUAUUGCACAAUGGAGGAAACUCUGAUGCAGCGAUGCCGCGUGAGGGAAGAAGGUUUUAGGAUUGUAAACCUCUGUCUUCAGGGACGAAAAAUGACGGUAC
rnacentral:rRNA from 1 species